rnacentral:rRNA from 1 species
UACGGGGGGGGUAAGCGUUGUUCGGAAUUACUGGGCGUAAAGGGCUCGUAGGCGGCCAACUAAGUCAUACGUGAAAUCCCUCAGCUUAACUGGGGAACUGCGUAUGAUACUGGAUGGCUUGGAUUUGGGAGAGGGAUGCGGAAUUCCAGGUGUAGCGGUGAAAUGCGUAGAUAUCUGGAGGAACACCGGUGGCGAAGGCGGCAUCCUGGACCAAUAUUGACGCUGAGGAGCGAAAGCCAGGGGAGCAAACGGG